rnacentral:misc_RNA from 1 species
GAUGAAGAACGCAGUGAAAUGCGAUAAGUAAUGUGAAUUGUAGAAUUCAGUGAACCAUCGAAUCUUUGAACGCACAUUGCGCCCGGCAGUAAUCUGCCGGGCAUGCCUGUCCGAGCGUCAUUUCUCCCCUCGAGCGCAGCUUUCCCCCCCGGGGGAGGGCCGCGCCCGGUGUUGGGGCGCUACGGAGGAGCCCAGCGCUCCCCCGUAGGCCCCGAAAUGUAGUGGCGGUCCCGCCGCGGCGCCCCCUGCGUAGUAGUUUUACAACUCGCAUCGGGUCCCGGCGGAGGCCAGCCGUCAAACCCCCCAACUUCAAUAGUUUGACCUCGGAUCAGGUAGGGUUACCCGCUGAACUUAAGCAUAUCAAUAAGCGGAGGA